UCGUAUCAGAGCACUGUUUCCCAUGUAAAACCACAUCCCAGGAUUGGCCAUGGAGCAAGGCAGCACUGGUGCUGGCCUGGCUACUUUGUCAGUAUUGGUUUUAUACUGUAUGUAUUUUAUUGUAUUAGUCCUCAAAUAACUAUGUAAUAAAAGACAUCAUUGAGACCACCUGAGUUCUCACAUGACAUCCUAACUGGGAGGAAGGUCCCUGCUCACCUGUGGGACCUUAUUGACCGUGCUUGCUAGUAAACGUUGACAGGCUAGGCUUAGUGUGCAAGAAAGCACAAUGGCAUUAUGGAAAAGCAAAGGACAGAGAAGUGCAGGGAGCCACAAGGUGGCCCCACGAGAAUAUCGCUGCCACCCAGCUGGCCCCAGGCCGAGUCUUCCCUUCCCCCUGCGUUUUGGGAACACGAGGCUGGAAAAUAGGGAUGCCCUCACCACAAAUGAUCCAUCGUUAACUUUCUGUCGGUCAGUCAUAGCACGACUAAUAGCGUUUUUAUUCCAGCAAAUGGCAGUUAUUGAGGGAAAAAAAAUAUCCCACAAGUCAUUUCAACAGGACAUGUUAGCUUGAUGCAUGUUUCCACCCUGAGAUAUUACUGGCAGGGCCUUUUUACUCCAUGCCGACCACAUCAGGUAAGUGCUCUACUUACAGUAUGGUUGUUUUGUAUUAAAAUAAAAACCACAAGGUACCACUGGUAGCCAUUGCUCUACACAGAAAUACUCCUUUCUAGCCAGAAAUUAACCUGGAUACCUUUUUGUUUUGUUUUCUUUGUCUUUUGUUUGUUUGUUUGUUUCAGGUGAGAAAGGAAAUGUUGGUGUGUAUAUGGAAUAUCACUGAGAGAAGAUGAUGAAGGAAGGAAAAAAUGUCUUAAGAAAACCUGCAGAAGUAGGUGGAGGCACUGGCUAAAUUCCUCCAGAUCUGAAUUUUGAAGGUCUGCCUAAAGAGUGUGUUGGUUCCAGAAAUCUGCAGGGCCUACCUGCAUGGACUUGUGGACCGGCUCAUCCCACCUCACCCGCAGAGACUGCAAGUCUCUGAUGAUGACUGGAAGAUGCUGUCUCCAGCAGGAGAGAGGGCCCCUUUCCUGUGUCAGGCAGCAGGGCACCAAACCUCCUCCAGCAGCACCUGCAGACCUCCUUGCAGCGGGAAGCACCAGCAGCCUUCUGCAGGGAGCUCCCAGCAGGACCUGUCCUGGCACAGGCACGGACGCUGCGUUCAGACAUGGUUAGGAGAGGGCAUCUCCUCCACCACUGGCAACCAGCAGCUCAAUUAUGUUCGACAGCUGAAUCAGGAACUGGCUGGCAAAUACAAUUUAUAGUGCCAUGUGAAAGACUAAGCCAGGGAGAAUGUCUCCAGGGCUGUGAGUAACAAAUCUGGCAAUUUUGGUUCAAGAACUAAUAGGGCUAAAUUUGAAUCCCACGAAAGCUGUGCUCAGGAUUUCUAACAAAUGGUCCCAGCCUGAGAGUGAGUUUUCUGCUUCGAUGAGCAAUUUCUUCAUGUGUAAUUACUCCAUAUCCAAGGCAAUCCAUAUGAGGUGAUUAGGUUUCUUCCUACUGAAAAAUGCCUGAGAGGAAGAGGAAGGGAUAUAGUGCUAACUCUGCUCUCCUUGACAAGACAAAGAUCAUCAUGUAAGAA